AAGACCCUAGUAAAAUAGAAAAUUACAUUGCCUUGUCAAGGCAAAAUUGUGGGUUAAACCCCCGCGUGUCUUG
rnacentral:tRNA from 3 species